rnacentral:rRNA from 1 species
UUAGGAAUUUUGCGCAAUGGGGGAAACCCUGACGCAGCAAUGCCGCGUGAAGGAUGAAGGCCUUCGGGUUGUAAACUUCUUUCGACCGGGAAAAAACAAAUGAUGGUACCGGGAGAAGAAGCACCGGCUAACUACGUGCCAGCAGCCGCGGUAAUACGUAGGGUGCAAGCGUUACUCGGAUUUAUUGGGCGUAAAGCGCAUGUAGGCGGUUUUGUAAGUUUGAUGUGAAAGCCCUGGACUCAAUUCAGGAACUGCAUUGAAUACUGCAAGGCUAGAGUAUGAGAGAGGUAGGCGGAAUUCUUGGUGUAGAGGUGAAAUUCGUAGAUAUCAAGAGGAACAACAGAAGCGAAGGCGGCUUACUGGAUCAUUACUGACGCUGAGAUGCGACAGUGUGGGGAGCAAACAGG